UACGUAGGGUGCAAGCGUUGUCCGGAAUCACUGGGCGUAAAGGGCUCGUAGGCGGUUUGUCGCGUCGGAAGUGAAAACACGGGGCUUAACUCUGUGCUUGCUUUCGAUACGGGCAGACUAGAGGGAUGCAGGGGAGAACGGAAUUCCUGGUGUAGCGGUGAAAUGCGCAGAUAUCAGGAGGAACACCAGUGGCGAAGGCGGCUAUCUGGACGGUUUCUGACGCUAAGACGCGAAAGCGUGGGGAGCAAACAGG
rnacentral:rRNA from 1 species